UCCGUAGGUGGAUUAUUAAGUCAGAGGUGAAAGUCUGCGGCUCAACCGUAGAAUUGCCUUUGAUACUGGUAAUCUUGAGUCAUUAUGAAGUGGUUAGAAUGUGUAGUGUAGCGGUGAAAUGCAUAGAUAUUACACAGAAUACCGAUUGCGAAGGCAGAUCACUAAUAAUGUACUGACACUGAUGGACGAAAGCGUGGGUAGCGAACAGGAUUAGAUACCCUGGUAGUCC
rnacentral:rRNA from 1 species